AUUGAACGCUGGCGGCAGGCCUAACACAUGCAAGUCGAACGAGUGGCGGACGGGUGAGUAAUGUCUGGGAAACUGCCUGAUGGAGGGGGAUAACUACUGGAAACGGUAGCUAAUACCGCAUACCAUCAGAUGUGCCCAGAUUGGAUUAGCUAGGUGGUGGGGUAACGGCUCCCCAAGGCGACGAUCCCUAGCUGGUCUGAUAGGAUUCACAGCCACAUGGGAACUGAGACACGGUCCAGCCUCCUACGGGAGGCAGCAGUGGGUAAUAUUGCACAAUGGGCGCAAGCCUUAUGCAGCCAGGCCGCGUGUAUGAAGAAGGCCUUCGGUUUGUAAAGUACUUUCAGCUGGGAGGCGUUACCCGCAGAAGAAGCCCCGGCUAACUCCGUGCCAGCAGCCGCGGUAAUUC
rnacentral:rRNA from 1 species